CUUCAUCGAUCUGUUGCGGGCAGAUGAAAUGGAUGUGGCUGUCGAUGCCGCCGGCGGUGACGAUCAUUCCCUCGCCGGCAAUGAUCUCGGUACCGCCGCCGAUAGGGAUGGUCACGCCCGGCUGGAUAUCCGGAUUGCCGGCCUUGCCGAUGCCGGCGAUGCGGCCGCCCUUGAUGGCGAUGUCGGCCUUGACGAUUCCCCAGUGGUCGACGAUCAGCGCGUUGGUGAUUACCGUGUCGGCGACUUCGGCGGCGGGCUUCUGACCCUGCCCCAUGCCGUCACG
rnacentral:sRNA from 1 species